CAGUAGCCGCGGUAAUACGAAGGGUGCAAGCGUUACUCGGAAUUACUGGGCGUAAAGCGUGCGUAGGUGGUGGUUUAAGUCCGUUGUGAAAGCCCUGGGCUCAACCUGGGAAUUGCAGUGGAUACUGGGUCACUAGAGUGUGGUAGAGGAUAGUGGAAUUUCCGGUGUAGCAGUGAAAUGCGUAGAGAUCGGAAGGAACAUCUGUGGCGAAGGCGACUAUCUGGGCCAACACUGACAAUGAGGCACGAAAGCGUGGGGAGCAAACAGGAUUAGAUACCCCGGUAGUCCCUGUCUCUUAUAC
rnacentral:rRNA from 1 species